AUGUCUUUCAAUUCUCGUACUCGUAAUUGGAAAGUUAUGGAAGGAGACCCAUCAUUUUGCAAUGAAAACAACAUAUAAAACUCUGGACAAUUUCGAAAUCAGGCCAAGCGUCUUAAUACAUAUGCAAAAAAAUCAUUAUUGGCCCACCAUUGA
rnacentral:rRNA from 1 species